UUGGUUUUUUAUUCUUAACAACUGAAAAUUAGUUGAAAAAGAAAACCCACCAGUAUGGCUGGAUCUGGAGCUGCCUGCACUUGUGGUCAGAUCUACCAAAGGAAGGGACAUCUCAUCUGGACAAUGGCUAUGAAGACCCAACUGCUUUAAGUGUUUAUAGUCCCAGACCUGAUCUCAUGUCAUUUUACACACAGAGGGAGAAGCCCUGGCCCCAUGUGGGGCUGUGGGCUGGCUCAGACUCCAGCUGAAAUUCCACAGUGAACAAGCCAAGGCACCCUCCAACCUCAAGGCCAGCAAUGGCCCCUAAGGGAUGCUUCAAUGACACAAAAUCUGCUGUUGGUGCUCUUAGGAUGGCCCUGAAUUACCCCAUCACUCACCAUCAACCAAAUGUUCAGGCAGCACCAAGGAGAGCCAUGGAAGAGCUCAGCACAUCUGCGUGAGCUGAUGAGGCUUGGGAGUGUGCGAGAAAUCCCCUCCUCCUGGGACAUUUCCCUCACGGGGUGCCACUCUCAGAGGGGGAACAUCUGAUGGAGAGCAGCAAUGAGGACAGACCUGGAGGGUCCACUGUGUGGCUGUGACCACAGCACACGUCCAGGAGUGGGCCACCGUGCUGCUCAGGACCAGCAAAAACCAGCCCAGGACACCAGGCAAUGGCUGGGGUCAAAGGAGCCAUGAAAUAAACACCCUUCCUGAGCUAUUCCAUUUCUUCAAGAUGCAGGAAGCUGAUAACCAAAGAAAAUAAAUUCUUGCUGAGAACUAACUCUUUGAGUCACUUAUGUAUUUGUAAGCAUCUGUGCAGAAAGGUCCAGACAAAAUAAUUUCUUCCCAAAAAGUAUAGGUAAAAGAAUGUACAAAAACUGUG